CCUACGGGCGGCAGCAGUGAGGAAUAUUGGUCAAUGGGCGAGAGCCUGAACCAGCCAAGUCGCGUGAGGGAGUACUGCCCUAUGGGUUGUAAACUUCUUUUGUCGGGGAGCAAAAGCCGGACGUGUCCGGCUGUGAGAGUACCCGAAGAAAAAGCAUCGGCUAACCCCGUGCCAGCAGCCGCGGUAAUACGGAGGAUUCGAGCGUUUUCCGGUUUUUUUGGGUUUAAAGGGUGCGCAGGCGGUUUUUUAAGUCCGCGGUCAAAUAGUGGGGCUCAACCCCAUCCAGCCGUUGAAACUGGGGAUCUAGAGUGUGCGAGAGGUAUGCGGAAUGCGUGGUGUAGCGGUGAAAUGCAUAGAUAUCACGCAGAACCCCGAUUGCGAAGGCAGCAUACCGGUGCACAACUGACGCUCAGGCACGAAAGCGUGGGUAUCGAACAGGAUUAGAUACCCCUGUAGUC
rnacentral:rRNA from 1 species